rnacentral:hammerhead_ribozyme from 1 species
GCACUGCUGAGGAGUCCCAAACUAGGAUGAAACAGCCGUCCAGUGC